AAGGCCUCCCAGGAAGGGAUCAGCUAUAAAAAGGACCCCAGAGAACUUUGCCUUGAAGAAGAGCAGUGCCUGUCCCAGGGUAGAGAGGUGACAAAAGGCCAUGGCCCAUCCCUGCCCAGAGAAAGCAUCAAAGGGGCCUCUGCCAAGCCAGCACCCAAAGACCCAAGGGGACACGUUAUUUCUGAUCACUCUCGACUCCUCAGGCAGGCCUGACUGCCCACAACAGCAGGAACAGAAGGGCCCGGUGCCAGCAUAGACAGGCUCUGCUGUGAGACACAGGUGCUCCCAGGAUCCUCCUACAGUGCCACCUCUGGAAAUCCCUGUUCUCUGAUCAAACAGAGACCACUGAGGGGGUGAAAAGGAGACAGACAGAGAGCUGCUGCUUUUUACAAUAAACUCUGUAUUGUGCACAUGAAGACCUGGAGAUGUGCCGACUUCCUGUCCCCAAAGCCAAUCUUCCCCGCCAAGGCGACUGAGGAUUUCAAGGGCUCAGAGUUACUGCAGGAAUCCAGGUGAGGAAACUGAGGCUCGUUACUGACUUGCCCAAGAUUCCACAGUGGAAGAGCCUGGACGUGAACUGCGUCUCCAGGUCUCGAACCAUUUCCUGUCCUGGUCCCAGGACCUAGGUGGGGCCGCCGCGCGGUCAGACAGAGCCGGCCCGCCUGGGACCCCUUGGCUGCCCUCGCCCCCCGGCCCCGCCCCCCGCAC
rnacentral:lncRNA from 1 species